AAGUCGUAACAAGGUUUCCGUAGGUGAACCUGCGGAAGGAUCAUUAACACGUGUCCCACGUAUCAAACCAAAACCGUGAACUGUGAACGUAUAUCCGGGAUAAGCUAGAUGGCGUGGGCAGUAAAGUCCAGGGAUGAGCUUACUUUCGGGUGAGCUGUACUCUGGGUUCCCCACAUUUGGCUUAGACCGUUAACCAAAACCAUUAUUCAUUAUUAUUAUCGUCUUAAGAACUGUCGUGCUGACUGAGAGGAUCGCGAAGUAGCUAGCUCUUCGGGGCCGGCCAAAAGCUUUACUUGAAUGUUAGUAAUGAUGUCUUAUUACAAACUAUGUACAACUCUUAGCAACGGAUAUCUUGGUUUCC
rnacentral:misc_RNA from 1 species